rnacentral:rRNA from 1 species
CGUGGAGACAGGUGGUGCAUGGCUGUCGUCAGCUCGUGUCGUGAGAUGUUGGGUUAAGUCCCGCAACGGGCGCAACCCUCACCUCUUGUUGCCAUCAGGUCAUGCUGGGCACUCUAGAGGAACUGCCCCGGUCAACGGGGAGGAAGGCGGGGAUGACGUCAAGUCAUCAUGCCCCUUACGUCCUGGGCUACACACGUGCUACAAUGGCCGGUACAAAGGGAUGCCACACCGCGAGGUAGAGCUAAACCCAAAAAGCCGGUCUAAGUUCAGAUUGGAGUCUGCAACUCGACUCCAUGAAGGAGGAAUCGCUAGUAAUCGCGUAUCAGCACGACGCGGUGAAUACGUUCCCGGGCCUUGUACACACCGCCCGUCACGCCACGAAAGCCUGCUGUACUCGAAGUCGCUGAG